rnacentral:tRNA from 1 species
GCUCAGGUGGUUCAGGGGUAGAAUAUUUGCCUUCCAUCAGCGGGGUAGCAAAUGAUCCGAGUUCGAGUCUCGGCCUGAGCA